rnacentral:rRNA from 1 species
UUCAUAUGUGAAUUUUUGUUCUUUGAUUAUUAGUAGUUAUGGUCUUUAAAAUUAAAAAAUUUGGCGGUAUUUUAGUCUGUUCAGAGGAACCUGUUUUUUAAUUGAUGGUCCACGAUAAUUUUUACUUUAGUUUUUAAUUUGCAUAUCGUCGUUUAUAAAAAUUUUAAGAGAAUAACAAUUUUUAUGAUUUUUGAUUAUAAAUUAUUUCAGAUCAAGGUGUAGUUUAUAUUAAAGUUAAAAUGGGUUACAAUGAUAUAAUUUUUGGCUUUUUCAUUUAAAAUUUAAAUUAAAUUGGAUUUGAUAGUAAGUUCUUUAUUUAUGGGAAUUGAUUUAGCUCUAAAAUAUGC